GGCGUCUAUUUAUGGCACCCAAGUGGGCUUAUUAGCAGUUGUGACAAAUGGCCUCAUAAAGGCACUAGGGUCGUCUCAGGAAACAGGGGGCCUAGUUCUGUCC